AGGGCUGUAGCUCAGUUGGUAGAGUGCUUGCCUAUCACACAGGAAGCACUGGGUUCAGUCCCCAGCCCUG
rnacentral:tRNA from 1 species